GACGAACGCUGGCGGCGUGCUUAACACAUGCAAGUCGAACGGAAAGGCCCUGCUUUUGUGGGGUGCUCGAGUGGCGACCGGGUGAGUAACACGUGGGUACCCUGCCCUUGACUUUGGGAUAACUUCAGGAAACUGGGGCUCAUACCGGAUAGGAUCUCCUGCUGCAUGGUGGGGGUUGGACAGUUUCGGUGGUUGGGGAUGGACUCGCGGCUUUUCAGCUUGGUGGUGGGGUAGUGUCUUAGCAAGGCUCUGACACGUAGCCGGGCUGAGAGGGUGAGCGGCCAAAUUGGGAUUGAGAUACGGCCCAGACUCCUACGGGAGGCAGCGGUGCGGAAUAGUGCCCUAUGGGAGGAAGCCUGAUGCAGCAACGCCGCGUGCGGGAUAACGUGCUUGUGUUUGUAUAGCACUUUUGUUUGUGACGAAGCGUGAGUGACGGUAAUGGGUAAAGAAGCACCGGCUAACUACGUG
rnacentral:rRNA from 1 species